rnacentral:lncRNA from 1 species
GGUCUGAAGCCCCAAACAGCUCCUGCCAGCCGGUGUAUUUGGGAGCCAGUGUGGCGUAGUGGUUGGAGUGUUGGAUGGGGACCUGGGAGAGCAGGGUUCAAGUCCCCACUCAGCCCUGAAGGCCACCAGUCUCACAACCACCCAAGGUUCUGAAUUACGAACCCAGCUGCACACAUGCAUGCACACGUGAGGGAGCCAGAGGCCAAGAUAGAGACAAUAUGCUUUUCUUGCGCCCGUCCCCACCAUGCCAUGGCACUGCGCACACCCCUCUUCCUCCUUCGUCAAAGAUGAUCUGACAUAAUCUCCCUCUCCGUCUCCUGACAUGCCAACCCCAGCCUGACCCACUUCACCAGAGUUCCAGGGUGCCAGUGGCAGGGACCAUCUGCUAGACUGCCCUCCUGCCAGAGCGCAUUAGGGUCAGGCUGGAGCCAGCUAAUCAAGGGCCCCCGCAGGGAGGAGAGAGGCCUCUUUCGGCCAGAGGCCACCGGGGACCCAAAGCAGCAAAGUCAAAACACUUAUUCUGCCCACUGCCAGGAAAUGAAAAGUCUCUCUGUGUGUUUCCAUGCAUUAAAGACAAGACAAAUGGCAGGGGAGCAUGAGGUGGGUGGAAUGCCCUCCCCAGAUUGUUUGGCAAAGGCUAGUAAGACCCACAACUGGGUGGAGCUGAGCUGUCCAGCAAGGUUGGAGGAGUCCAGGGGCAGGUUUUGUGAUAAUUGUUGCCUAAUCUAACUUCAGCCAGUCCCAUCCUUCUGAGCUUCAUGCCUGGAAACUACCAGGCCUGGAUAUGCUGCCACUGUUGCCUUGCUCAGUGCAAGGGUCUGAGAGCAUUGAAAGGUGUCCCUGCUCUGGCUCUCAGGAAGGGUGUCACCAAAUGUGUUAUGAGCAGAUCCACACCAGACGUUUAUAGCACAUGGUUUGCCCCAGAGAAUCCUGGGUACUGUGGUUCACUAUGAGUGCUGGGAAUGCCAAUGUUUGGAUGUACAUUGAAUGAGAAUUCAAUGCAUACUGGUGACACUGUACUAGGGCAGACCAGGAAGAGCUGACUUUUUCUUCUUAUAGAACAGCCAGUACAUCUUUCCAAGUCCAAAGGCAGCUAGGGAGAUAGGCUGAGCACAUCACUCUGGAGGGUUUUCUGGGGCUGGAAGUGGUUGCAGAAAACAGCAACCAAAAUGAUCGGGAAGUUGGGAUAUGUUCCUUAUGAGGAAAAGGCUCCAACCCAGUAGCCUCGUUGAUCUGACAGCCCAAAAUGCAGCGCAUGUGAGGCAAACACUUUCUUUAGCCUUUCUUUAUUUCAGCUGCUAGCCAUGUGGGCAGUGUUCUGCCUCCGCUAUCAGAGACGCGGUGACUCUGAACAUCAGCUGCAAUCAAAUGGUAAGAGUGCCACUGUUGCACCCCUAGUUGCCAACUACUCAGAGAGGUUUAGUUUACUGUGAUGGGGAACAGGAUGCUGGACUAGAUGGGCCUUUUGGCCUGAUCCAGCAGCCAGACUCUUAUUUUCUUAUAGUUCAACUUGCCUUUCACAUUCAUGGUGCAAGCUUUCAAAUCAAACAGGGCUCUUCCUUUCCUUGGACGAUGGUCAAAAAAGAGAUUGAGCACGAAAGCGAGAAAGAUGUUUCUGCACUUAGCCGUUUUGUCUUGCGAAGCUUUCCCCUCCACUCACUUUUUUCAACCCAAGCCUCAAAAAAAACAAAAAUAAAUAACCCCCAUCACUUUAGCAAGCCUGACAGUCUCUGUAUGAGAAGGGAGGCCUUGCAGGGAUGUCUCCACCUGGGGGGCCCUUCCCAUAUGCCUCCCGUUCAGCUGGCAUUGUGGCCUCUUUGUCGCACGUCACCCUCGGAUCACAGGCGAUGGGCAUAUGUGGGCUGACAAGGUGGCAUCGCCACUAGCCACCCUGCACAGAUCAGUGGCUCCGCUCGACAACAUCAGAUGUGACAACUACAGUACAGCCAAUGGCCUUUCAAUGCGAUUCUUUGCCUCGACUCAGGCCCUUAGGCGACACCUCCCUCGCCCGCCCAUCUCUCCUCCUUCAAAUGCACACGCUGCACACAUUCACACACGGGGGGGGAGAGGGGGGGUUGUAUCGGAGGAGCUGCUUGAUCCCCUCCAAAUCCUCCAGGGCAUGGUAUGAACUGUCCCUGUCAUCUUUCCACAUGGAAGGUAGUCUGGCCUUUGCCUCUCCUAAAACCCAUCGCUCUCCGUUCUCCUCAGAAUGUCCUCUGCCAUCAUUCCAGCCAUGAGGUCAGGCUCAGAUUUUGCAUCUUCAGUGGAGGAAAAAAGGUCCAGUGCCCCAUAGCCCACUUGGAAAUGUCUCUUCUGACCCCUGCCCCCACCCCCAGGGCUUCACUGGAAGUUCUUGGAGGGAGUCGGAACAAGAAGAUGGUCCCUAUUGCUUGAGAAAUGCUGGAGGGAGGCAGGAUUUCAAACCGUUUCAGUUCAGCAAGACAUUACUGCCAAUAUCUAAAGUCAUACUCUGCCUAAAAGUAUUUUAACUGUUUUGGUUUAUGGCCACUGGUGCAUUCAGCAGGUGGAACAAUGGCCUAUUAAGAGCAUAAGAACAGCCUUGCUGGACCAGGCCCAUCUAGUUCAGCAUCCGGGGGCCUGUGGGAAAUCCUCAAGCAGGACCUGAGCACAAGAGCAGCUCUCUCCCCUUGUGCAGUUCCCAGCAACUGGUGUUCAGAAGCAUCCUACCUCUGACCCAUGGAGGUAGAUAGCCAUGCGGCUUGAUAAUGUUCCCCUGUUUACCCCGCCUCCAAUUCCCGUUCCUUCCUCUCUUGUUCCCAUCCACCUCCAGGUCAAAUGUUAGACUGCAAGCUCUUUGGGGCAGGGACCCGUCCUCUUACAUUCUGUAAAGUAUAAAUAGGCAAACCAACAGCACCAUAAAAAUAAAGAACCACUUUUCCAAGUGGAUUUUAAACCACUUUUUUUUUUUAACACAGCUGUUGUCUUAAAAUUCAUCAGCAAGGCUUGAAAGGAGUAUAUGUGUUGUUGAAAUAUACCCUACAAAUUCCAGAGGGGUAGCUAUAUUAGGCUGUGUACACACUCCUGUUUCACUUUGCAUCCAGUGUACUCCUUUUGCUCAUUUGGGAAACAGUGUGCACGCAACGUUAGCCACGAUCCUUAAAUAUCCUGAUGUAUCCCCCCCAAAAAAACCCCAAAUUUUUAGUAAAAGGCGAAAGAUUUAUACGAUCUGAAGAGAAACCAGAGCAAUUCCAAUAAUUAAAGGAGUAGCAAUAUUUAAAGAAUGGCAAAAAGUAAUUUCAAGAUAUAUCUGGCAGGGCAAAAAGCCGAGAAUAAAAUUUAUGCUGUUAACAGAUUUAAAAGAGAGGGGAGGCUUUGCCCUGCCAGAUUUGAGGUUAUAUUAUAUUAUAUAAUAUAACUUUGCUUUGCCCUGCCAGAUUUGAGGUUAUAUUAUGAAGCAUCAUGUAUAUGUUGGUUGAAAGAAUGGAUGAAAUUAGAAAAUACAGAUUUGUUAGAUUUGGAAGGAUAUGAUAAUAGAUUCGGUUGGCACGCGUAUUUAUGGUACGAAAAGAAAUGAGUGCAUAAAGGUUUUGAAAAUCAAGAUGUUUUUAUUUGAAGACCAUAAGUUUCUCUGUGGGACAUUCCAGGAGAGGGGGUCCCGUAGGUACGAGGGUCCUAGGCUGUAUAGGGCUUUAAAGGUUAAAACCAGCACCUUAAACCUGAUCCUGUACUCCACCGGGAGCCAGUGCAGCUGGUAUAGUACCGGGUGAAUGUGAUCUCGCAGCGAGGACCCCGUAAGGAGUCUCGCUGCAGCAUUCUGCACCCGCUGGAGUUUCUGGGUCAGUCUCAAGGGCAGCCCCCGUAGAGCGAGUUACAAUAAUCCAGUCUGGAGGUGACCGUCGCGUAGAUCACAGUGGCUAGGUCAGGGCAAGAGAGGUAAGGAGCCAACUACUUAGCUUGGCGGAGAUGGAAAAAUGCCGCCUUUGUUAUAGCUGCAAUCUGCACCUCCAUGGAAAGGGAGGUGUCGAAGAUUACACCCAAACUCUUAACGGACGGUGCUGGCACUAAUUGCACCCCCGCAAGAGAUGGGAGUUGCCCCCCCCCAAUCCCAUAUCGUCCCGUCCCAGCCACAGGACCUCGGUCUUUGAAGGAUUUAGCUUCAACCGGCUCCCACGUAACCAUCCAGCCACAGCUUCCAAACAUCUGGUCAGUGUGUCUGGGGUCGAGUCAGGAUGGCCAUCCAUCAACAGAUAGAGUUGGGUGUCAUCAGCAUACUGAUGGCAACCCAGCCCAAAACUCCGGACAAGCUGGGCGAGGGGGCGCAUAAAAAUGUUGAAAAGUAUGUUGAAAAGCUUUAAAUGUAUGGUGUGUAUACAGCCUGCUUUAAAGCACACGCAAAGCGCCUUAUUUCCCUCAAAGAAUUCUGGGCCCUGUAGUUUACCGCUACAGCGACUCUUAGCAAACUAUAGUACCCUGAAUUCUUUGAGGGGAAGGAAGGUGCUUUGAAUGCACUUUCAAAGGUGUGGUGGGUAUGCACAGCCUCCAUCUCUUGCAGCAAGAGCAACGAAGAGUCUUGUGGCACCUUAAAGACUAGCACUUUUUUUUAUGGCCCAAGCAUCCCUGGAGCGCAGCCCACUUCAUCAGAUGCAUGGAUUGUAUCUUCCAAAUACAUAACCUUGAGAGCUAACCUACCUUGAAAAUGCAAGAGCGUGCACGCACACAUUUUCCUCCUUGCCAUGUGGCAGCAGCAGCCGCCGCCCCACCCCCAUCACAAGACUAGGUGCUUGUCACAGGAGAAGGCGCAGCCCAAUUGCAAAGUGGGAAAGACCGCAGGUGGGAGCAGGAUCUCUACCAGAAGAGAGAAGCUGGACUCCAUUUGAGUCAAACUGCAGCCAGGCUUCCCUUGGCUGGUUGUGCCAUGAUGGGCCAUAGCUGCCCCUCCAACCCAUCGCCUGGACACAGCAGGAAUGCAUGGCUGUAUUUUCCAGGCUUUGUUUGCUGGUGCUUGAGCUCCCCCUGCCGGCCCUGCUUAAAAAGAGCAGCUCAUCCUAUCCUUAACCACAGAGAGUAUUUUGCACUACCAGGACAAGGUGAGCUUGGAACGUUCCCCUUUUACUGCCUCCAGUGGUGUUAAAGAUUGCAGGUGUAAAGGCAACCAGGGCAGGAGAUGUGGUUGACAUCCAUUGCAGGGGAAUAUUUGUGACCAGGCUGAUCUUGAGUUCAGCAAAUAGUAACCUCAGCGGUGCCAGGGUAAAAUCAGCUCUUUGGACCAGCAUAGGUUGGCGCAGGAAUAGACACGUUUGCAAGCUUCAAAGAGGAAUUAAAAAAUGGUUUAUGCUUUGGAAGAAGUCAUUUUCCAAUAGUGCAGAUAUUUCCAGUCACUUGUUAGCCUGUAGUUUACUCACAGCGUUAUGUACAUACAGUACAAACAUAGUUAGGAUAUGUGUGGGCCCUCAUCACUCUGGAAGCGAGCUCAUUGUGUUUUGUUGGAAGAGGGUGCACUUCUCUCUUCAGGGUCCAACUCAGGAAGGGAAAGUGGUUCUGCACCAUUUCUGCAGAAACCAGCUGUGCCCAGCACCAAUUGCUUAUAACCUGUGUGUCAUACACACUCCUUUAUUCCCACAUCCCCAAAGCAGUUCUGCGAUGCUUUUUAAGUUGAUUGUGCUUUUUACAUACAUACAUACAUACAUACAUACAUACAUAAAUAAAUAAAUAAAAAGUUCAAUAAGGCAAUGUAUGAAGGUUAAAAUCAAUAAAAGUAUUGCAACACUU